AUUGAACGCUGGCGGCAGGCCUAACACAUGCAAGUCGAGCGGAUGAGGAAAGCUUGCUUUUCGAUUCAGCGGCGGACGGGUGAGUAAUGCCUAGGAAUCUGCCUGGUAGUGGGGGAUAACUCGGGGAAACUCGUGCUAAUACCGCAUACGUCCUACGGGAGAAAGUGGGGGAUCUUCGGACCUCACGCUAACAGAUGAGCCUAGGUCGGAUUAGCUAGUAGGUGAGGUAAUGGCUCACCUAGGCGACGAUCAGUAACUGGUCUGAGAGGAUGAUCAGUCACACUGGAACUGAGACACGGUCCAGACUCCUACGGGAGGCAGCAGUGGGGAAUAUUGGACAAUGGGCGAAAGCCUGAUCCAGCCAUGCCGCGUGUGUGAAGAAGGUCUUCGGAUUGUAAAGCACUUUAAGUUGGGAGGAAGGGUAUUCACCUAAUACGUGGGUACUUUGACGUUACCAACAGAAUAAGCACCGGCUAACUCUGUGCCAGCAGCCGCCGUAAAAC
rnacentral:rRNA from 1 species